AUGAACGCUGGCGGCGUGCCUAAUACAUGCCAGUCGCGCGAACAGACGAGGAGCUUGCUCCUCUGACGUUAGCGGCGGACGGGUGAGUAACACGUGGAUAACCUACCUAUAAGACUGGGAUAACUUCGGGAAACCGGAGCUAAUACCGGAUAAUAUAUUGAACCGCAUGGUUCAAUAGUGAAAGACGGUUUUGCUGUCACUUAUAGAUGGAUCCGCGCCGCAUUAGCUAGUUGGUAAGGUAACGGCUUACCAAGGCGACGAUGCGUAGCCGACCUGAGAGGGUGAUCGGCAAGACGGGAACGGAGACACGGUGCAGACUCCUACGGGAGGCAGCAGUAGGGAAUUUUCCGCAAUGGGCGAAAGCCUGACGGAGCAACGCAGCGUGAAUGAUGAAGGUAUUCGGAUCGUAAAACUCUGUUAGUAGGGAAGAACAAAUGUGUAAGUAACUAUGCACGGCUUGACGGUACCUAAUCAGAAAGCCACGGCUAACUACGUG
rnacentral:rRNA from 1 species